UACAGGGGGUGCAAACGUUGCUCGGAAUUAUUGGGCGUAAAGCGCGCGUAGGCGGCCACUUAAGUCGGAUGUGAAAGCCCCUGGCUCAACUGGGGAAGUGCACCCGAAACUGAAUGGCUUGAGUGCGAAAGAGGGUCGCGGAAUUCCCGGUGUAGAGGUGAAAUUCGUAGAUAUCGGGAGGAACACCGGUGGCGAAGGCGGAUCUCUGGGCCUUACCUGACGCUGAGGCGCGAAAGCUAGGGGAGCGAACAGG
rnacentral:rRNA from 1 species